rnacentral:rRNA from 1 species
CCUACGGGAGGCAGCAGUGGGGAAUAUUGCACAAUGGGGGAAACCCUGAUGCAGCGACGCCGCGUGAGUGAAGAAGUAAUUCGUUAUGUAAAGCUCUAUCAGCAGGGAAGAAAAUUACGGUACCUGAGUAAGAAGCCCCGGCUAACUACGUGCCAGCAGCCGCGGUAAUACGUAGGGGGCAAGCGUUAACCGGAUUUACUGGGUGGAAAGGGAGCGUAGACGGCAGGGCAAGUCUGGAGUGAAAGGCGGGGGCUCAACCCCCGGACUGCUCUGGAAACUGUACGGCUGGAGUGCAGGAGAGGUAAGUGGAAUUCCUAGUGUAGCGGUGAAAUGCGUAGAUAUUAGGAGGAACACCAGUGGCGAAGGCGGCUUACUGGACUGUAACUGACGUUGAGGCUCGAAAGCGUGGGGAGCAAACAGGAUUAGAUACCCUAGUAGUC